UUCACCAAAAAGUGCGGCAGUCCAUCGGACAGUCUAAGUGAAAUAAUAGCGAUCCGGUGACAAUAAAUUUUGAAGUGAGCCUUCCGUGGCAGCAGUCUGACAAAGGACGCAUUAGAAAAUCGUAAUAGUCACGGCAAGAUCGGAUUAGUGUUUAGCAGUUAGGUCCCACACGUGUCAAAAUUCAUGAGAGGAAGCCAACUGGGACAGCACAAAAGAGACCGCUCCCAAUAGUAAGAUCAGAGAACAAAUCAUUCACGUGCAGACCCGAGAAGCACCGAUUCACCGCACGUGGGCGUACGCUAGAAAAUCGCGUUGGGGGUUAUAAAGAUCCCGAACACAGUCCUCGUGGUCCAUCCGUCAUCGUGAUCAUCGGCUUCUCCGUCCAACGGUCACGCUUUCCAUCCGGACGAUCAGCGUGAUUGCCAAAAGGCCCCGUCAAGGGGCCUUGUUGCAGAUCUCAUUCGGGCGUCAUCGUAGUUCCCUCGUGGACUUCAAGAUUGCUCUCCCUUUUGGUAGGACCGCGGACCCGGCGCGAGUGGGAAGAGACGGCAUCGAACACGAGUAGAAAAGGCAGAGAACGUCAACGGUCGGUGCCAGUCGGUUUCAAGUCGUUUGGAUCAGAACACGGCCGACGGAAAAGCUAUGGCGUCACUUCCAUGUCGACAACAAAAAUCCUGUUCAGCACGGAAGAGCAUCUUACGGCGGUGAGCACGUUCUAUGUUGUAUGGCGUUAAUGUUAACUAAAUGUUAAAUAGUAGAACUAGUAGGGCCUUAGAUUAAGAGAAUCGACACUGCGUGUCAGAAUG